rnacentral:rRNA from 1 species
CCUACGGGUAGCAGCAGUGAGGAAUAUUGGUCAAUGGACGAGAGUCUGAACGAGCCAAGUAGCGUGAAGGAUGACUGCCCUAUGGGUUGUAAACUUCUUUUAUAUGGGAAUAAAAUGUUCCACGUGUGGGAUUUUGUAUGUACCAUAUGAAUAAGGAUCGGCUAACUCCGUGCCAGCAGCAGCGGUAAUACGGAGGAUUCGAGCGUUAUCCGGAUUUAUUGGGUUUAAAGGGAGCGUAGGUGGAUUGUUAAGUCAGUUGUGAAAGUUUGGGGCUUAACCGUAAAAUUGCAGUUGAAACUGGCAGUCUUGAGUACAGUAGAGGUGGGCGGAAUUCGUGGUGUAGCGGUGAAAUGCUUAGAUAUCACGAAGAACUCCGAUUGCGAAGGCAGUUCACUGGACUGCAACUGACACUGAGGCUCGAAAGUGUGGGUAUCAAACAGGAUUAGAUACCCCAGUAGUC